UUUUUAACCCAGCCACUAGCAGUGACACUUUGUUGUUUUAGUGCCGGUCCCAAGCCCGGAGAAAAUGGGGAGGGUUUU
rnacentral:ribozyme from 3 species